AUCCUUUUGUUGUUGUAAAGAGAAUUAUUGCCAGAGAAAUGGGAUUGUAGAAGUGGCUCACAUUAAAUGCCACAGAAGUUGUUCUAUACAGUUGAAGUCCGGUCAGCCAUUCGUUCGUCAUUGGAAGGACAGGAACAAAAAUCAGCCCAAGUCACCAAUGUUAGACUAGUUAGCAAUUGUCAUGUUUUUGACAUAGUUGCAGUUAUUUUCAUAUGUAUAAGCAAACAUGUGCAGCAAAUUCUUAAUGAAGUCAAAAGUAUUGAAUUAGUCAUUUUUACUGGGA
rnacentral:misc_RNA from 1 species